UGCUUCCUAUGAUCCCUCAGAUUGUUAACAGUAUGUUUUACAACAAUGCUGGUGGAGGAAUCUGAUUUCGAAUUUGAGUUAGAAAGGUGACUCGCCACAAAGCUAGGACUAUCAAUUAGAUCACACCAUAACUUACGGACACAUUUGAAUCGCAUCAAGGAUUUAGGUGGCAAUCGAGACAGGAUUUGCACCACCAUAUCAUCUGUAAAAUUACACGACUUUGCCAUUAACUAAUUAAUUAAUUUCUCCUCCUCUACUUUUCCUUUUAUGCUUUUCAGCAAAUUAAAUAAGGCGGAACAAUGAUGGAGCAAGAUCAAGGGAGCAUCUUACCUUGGAUUUCCGAUCGUGCUGAGUCCAAGAGCAGGAAUUUAUUAAACUUCAAAAUCCACUCAAAUUCCUCAUCGGAGUGACUGAGAUUCCUUCAUUUCCAAACACUCAUUGUUUCUUCCUUCCACUCGGCUCUGACUAGUCUCUCUGUUAUAGUCAAUGCUCAGUCAUACUGAUAUUUCUCUCUAGGGUUUCUUCUUCUUCUUUUGCUGCUGUUUGAUGAUGGAACGGGUUCAGGGCCCCCUUUGGACUUUUGUAAGCUAAAAAGGAAAAGAUAUAUUGUCCAAAUGUGGGUGUCAUUUAUUAUCUGUCUCGAGAACAUACUUUACGUUACAAGUUACAUCAAGAGAGAAGUGCACAAUAACCCAUAUAUAUAUAUAUAUAUAGGACAUGAUUUCCGCACACCAUUUUCCUUUUUUUGCACACCCUAUUUAUUUCUGGGUAUUAUACUAAAUAAAUCCAAAGGAGAACCAAGGAGCAGAAAUAAACAGGGUCUGUAGGUGGAGGAAUGUGGUGUGCAGAAAUCAUUUCCCUAAAUCAAGAAUAUUUUGACGAUUUCCCACUAAAUUAACAUAAAGGGCCAAUUUCCGCAUACGGCCAUGUUUCCCCGUACUUCAUCUAACUUUCUAUUGAAAAUGUCACAUUUCAAAAUUAAAAAAAAAAAAAAAAGAGGACAAUAAUAAGAUUAAGAAAGGAAAUAUAACAAACACAAAAGGAGAUUCAACGACCAACAUGUGACUUUUUGGAUCGAAUUUGGGUAAAUUUGAAGAUAGGGAGAAAUGAUCUAUUCAUAGUACUUUAGGGAAAAAAUUGGCCAAACCAAAACUUUAUGGGUAAUAUCGGCAAUGGGGUACAGGUUAAGGGGGGGAAUCGGCGAAUUACUCUUCUUAUAUGUAUAGAGAAACUGAACUCAAGUGAAGCUCUAGGUUAGUGUCAAUUGUGAUUAAUUGAAACAAUGGAAAGUAAAUGGAAGAAAACAUGGUGAUCAAAAUCUGCAAUGAGAGAAUAUCUUGAAAAGAUAUUUUUGAAGCACUACAUCCAACUAAAGGAAACGGAGAGAAGAUAAUAAAGCAACACUCUAAUUAAAUUUGGCUUGCCCGGUGUUCAGCAUAAUUAUAAGGUUAGUGUUCUGCAGUUCUAUGUGGAUCUACUUAAAAAGCUUACAGCAAAACUGCUUUCUAGAGAAGCAUUUCCAAACGGACCAUAGAUGUCCUAGUUUACAGGAUUUAAGCCAGUCAGUUAAGAGUCCCCUUAACCCUUGUAUAGCAUACGCCCCUCUAGAUUAUGCCACAUGUUUAAAAGACAAAACACAAUUAGUCUAAUGCAUUUAAUUAUUUCUUACCAAUAAUUAAGCAAUAAACUUACCAUUCAAAACCCCACUGAGUGAGGUUUCAAAACAUAAUUCAUUAAAACUACAUGAUGAAGGUUGUUGUUAAGGCCUUGCAAGGCAUGAUAGUGAUUGGAGUUGGGGCUCUUGACUUUAUAAUUGGUGCAGCUCUCUAUUCAUUCAGAAGCUGCAAUCUGUAAUGGAAAGAGAUCAAGAGUUUGCGUUGUUGAGCAAAUUUGACACCGUAUUCUAUAUACAAGCUCAAAGUAGCCACUCAUCCGCAUCCUAAUUUUGAGACAACAUAAAAAAUUCAUAUGAUCACCUAUCAAAUUUGCCCCACCUAGUCAGAAAUCAUAUUGCUAUUUAGCCUAAUGAAAAAUUCAAAAGUUAGUUCACAUCGAAAAUGACAUUCACUACUUUUAUUUAUGAGACAAUGAUGCCCUAUUAAAUGGCGGCUCAGUUUACUCUCGAGGAUUGCUGAUUAAGUAAGCUCGAGAGGAACAGGUCUAAACUAGACGAGAGGAGUAAACUAUUCAAACUAUGCACAACAAGGAUAUGGUUAGUGCUUACAAGGAACUUUCUCUUCAGGUUGCUUUCGGUUGCACAACUCCGACAGCAGAUUAUAUACUUCAUGGCUUAGUGUUUGGAUCUUCCCCCGGGCUUGGCAAUGACCAAAGUGGAUGGUCGGAAGGGCAAGUCUUGUGAAGUUGCCAUUGCUCCACUGGCCCUGCCUUGACCUCUUCCUCUUGUCACAGUUUGUGAAGACGAUGGCAAUGCAGCAGAUCGCUGAGUGAACUCCAUUCGCCUUGAUCAGGGCAUGGCCCAACUACCUCUUCCUCUUCCUCCUCGCACCUAAACCCUAAAAACAAUAGCAAACUAAGCCUCAAGUUAACAAAGUAAAUUAUGCAUGUACGAUUUUCUCAGUUACUACUCGAGAAGAGGAUGCAAAUUGAGUUUCAUCGCCUUUGCCUGCGACUCUCCCAUUUCCUCUGCCCAUUGGUCUAACUCUUCCUCUACCUCUUCCCCUGAAUGAACAAGAAACGCUCGCUCGCUCUAAAUUUGGGUUGUGAUAAUGAAAUAAAUGAAACAAUAUGAAAGUGUACUGUAUCACUAAAGAAAUGACACCCAAAACGUCCUCCUUAUCAUCCUCCUCGCCACCAACUAUAUGCCUGACGGCGAUGCGGGCGGAGGACCUCGAAUUAUUCGAAUUCGAGAGGUGGCUGGCCACAAAGCGACUAUCAAUCAGAUCACGCCAGGACUCGUGGACGCAUUUGAACCGCAUCAGGGGAUUUAGGUGGCAACCUUGACAGGAUUUGCGCCACCAUAUCAUCCGACAAUUUGCAGGAAUUUGCCAUUAAUUAACUUGUCCUCCUCCUCUUCCUCCAUCUCUACUUUCCUUUAAUCUUGAGCAAAACAAACUGGAACGAUGAUCACUGAAACUGUUACCUUGAUUUUCCGAUAGCGUCGACAGCGUCGAGACCAGGAGGACCCACUCAAAUUCCUCUCCGCUACGCGAGCGACUGGGAAUCCUUCGUUUCCGAGCACUCCUCAGCUUCUUCCCUUCGUCCUUUCCGGUUGGCUCUGACGACUGUAGUCUCUGUGUUUUAGUCAACGCCAGUCAACGCGUACUGACACUGACAAUGCUCUGUAGGGUUUCUCUUCGUUUCCAAACACUGGUCUUGCUGUUUGCCGCCGUAACGCUCGCGCUUUCUGGUUUGUGUAAACUGGUUCGGGCCCAUUUUGGGUCGAGCAUUUGGGCUUUUACGAUCUAAAAACAUUUGGAACGUGUUUUUUCUGUUUUGGUCCGUCUCAAUAAUAUUCUGCUUCAGUGCUUUCCGAAUAGUUAAAAGCACUCCACAAAAUUUAAAGUGCUUCUUACAAUAUUUAGCGAAGAAAUAUUGUGUGUUUGCAGAUUAUGAAUAUUAAUUUUUCUCGAAAGUAGCAGAUAUUGAGUGUUUUCUUAAAGAACCACAGGUUGAGUGCCUCGAAACAUGCAUUUGGAUUUUAAUUGACACACUUGCACUAAAAGCACUUCUAUUGAUUAAGAGAAGAUGUAAUUUCGAGGGAAGCAUCUAAGGGGCCCUUCAAGUUGAGAACUUCUAUAACACGAGUACAAUGUUAUUGUAGCGUGCCUGCAUUUGAAGUUCUUCUGCAAACUAUAUCAGCCUGCAUAAGUACUCCAAAGUUAAACGCGUGCAUUUGAAGUUCUGCAAACUAUAUCAACAUGCGGAAGUACUCCAAAGUUAAACACAUACAUUUGAAGUUUUGCAAACUAUAUCAGCAUGCAGAAGUACUCUAAAGUUAAAGGCGUGCAUUUGAAGUUCUUCUGCAAGUUAUAUCAACCUGCGGAAGUAAGUCUUUUUAACUUUGGUUUCAUGAUUAUAUCCAUACAUUUUGAACGCAAAGAAUAUCAUAUAUGUAACAUAAAAAAAUAUCAUACAUCCAUUCAGAAGCCCGUUGAGUAGCUCGUCAAAACAUUAUUCCACAUAGAGAGAAAUAAAUAAAGCAAUUAAAAGAGCUGCAAUCAUCAAGCAAAUUUGACACUUGAUGCAUUCAGAACAUCUUCUCCUUUGUCAUAAAUCUGCAACCAUAUCCUACAUACAAGUUCGGUAUCCUACUUCCGAGACAAACAUCAAAAAUUCAAUCCGCUAUCAAAUUUUCCUUCACCUAGUCAGCAAUCGUCUUUUGUUUAAAAGUAAUGAACGAUUCAAAAUUAAGUUCCACCUCAAAUACGAGACCAGUGGUGUAAGAACAACACUGAACGAAACGAGAGGAGUGAUUAGUAUCUCAAACUAUGCACAAAACGGAUGAAGUUAGUGCUGCUGCAAGAACAGAUCAUGUGGCUUUCAUUUGCUUGACUGGGAACUUCUCUUCAGCUUGCUUUUGCCACAUAUAGUUUGCAGCUUCAAUCCACUGUUUAUUAACUAAAAACUUCUUUUCUUUGACCGCCCAUUUAGACUUCUCCGUGCCAGCAUCUCCUGAAACCACAUGUGUCACCGAUGGGUCCACUUGUGUCGAACAAGAGGCUCCCAACUGCUCUGCCAUCUUCCAGAGAGGUUGAUUCUCAGCAUCGACAUUCGAAGGAAAUUUGUGGCUGAAAACAAUUUUACACCCCUUUAACACAUCCUUCUUAACAGUUUUCAACACCUACAAAAAUAGCAUCCAGAAGAAUCCAUAUUAAAUAUAUGAAGCUAAAGGAAGUAGUCAUGUUUUAGUGGUUCUGAAAAAAACUUGUUCACCUGUCUCACCUCUCUUUCAACAAGAUUAUCCUCCAAUUCCUUCAAGAUGGCCACCAACAAUAGAUUAGCACACAAAGAAAGUGUAACUUUUUGCCAUCAUGGAGAUAUAAAGUGGUACUUACACAUGGUUCAUCCUAAUGCUAUAUAAGUUAGGAUACUGAUUUGUUUCCUCAUUUCUUCAUUGGUGAUUCGUAUUUUCGAUGAUUUUAAGAAUGGGUAAUAAGUUUUUGUUAAGAGUUAAUGUGUUCAGUUUCAUUUUUUUUAGUUUCUGUUCUAUAAGGUUUUGUGUCUUGUGAUUGGAGUGUCAUGUGGUUAGAGGUUCUAAAAGACAAACAUGACUUUUUUUAUUUGGUCAGAGGAGGGGGGAGCAAGUUCUGUUCAAACUUUGGGUUUUCCGAUGGCUUGGAAGAAAUUAUAUCACUAUUGCUAUUACAAGUGUCCAGUUUGCAGAAAUGACAAGGCAUGCUACAAUCUAUGCUUCUUUGGUAGAUUUGAUUCAAAUUGGUAGAUUUCUGUAAGAAAUAAACUUUUAUCUUUUCUUUUAGUUAAAGACAGUUAGGACAUCAAUUUGUAAAAGAUAUGAAUAUUAACAAUGGUGAUAGAACCGCCAAUCCAUAUACUUGUAAAUAGAUUUCCACAUAUAUGUAAAUAGUAUUGCAUAUCGUGUCUAUUUAUAACUUUCUACAUAUUUUAUACAGUUUUAAACCCGCAGCAUCGCGCGGGCACCGUUGUUGUUUCACUAUUAUUUUUCAGUGUUAUUUUGUUGCUGCAUAGUGAAAUGGCCAAAAUGGCCCUGCCUCUUCAAUUUGUCGACCCACCAUUUCUCUAGAUACUUCCCAGUUCCCACAUCGUUUUUCUCACCGGGCUGCUUGCCUCUACUCUCCCCGUCUUCCUCGUCGCCUCAUCUGCUAAAUUCUCUUCGAUUCUACCAACCGCCGCAACCGUUCAGACUUUCCCAAAGGUAAAUUCUUUUCUCUUCCUUACACAAUUUGAUAUUGAUUUUGAAAAUAGUGAAACCCCAUAAAACAAACUGACUUUCUCAACCGAAGAUUACGAUAUAUGUUUCUAAGCCGUUUGCCUUUGGAAGAUUUUCAGAGAAUAGCUUCAAUUGAGUUAGGUUUUCUUCAAUUUAAUCUCAUUAGUUUCAUUCCAAUUCAAUGAUUUUGUGUAACGCUGAGUUUUCUGUCGGAGAAUAAAUUUUCUUCAUGGUUCAUUCAGUUUUGUUUUAUUUUCUGAUUUGGAUUUUGAAAUUGAGACUUCUAGCUUUGCCCUCAUCAAGAAAAUUUUAUUGAUUCCAAUUGAUAAAUGUUACCAAGAUGGGAAGGGGAUCACCAAUUUGAAUUCAGCUCUUCAGGUAUGCAUUCAUUCCAGAUUUAAAACAUCACUUCCGUUUAGUAUGUUGUUUAUCAUUUUUUAUCACUGUCAUGCGGUGUUACUGUCCGUCAUUUUAGUUGUUAAAAUCUGUUUGUUUGAGUUGUACAUAGCGCUCUUAACGUAGAAUUAGUAAAAUGCAGGUGUAGAAUGAACGACUAAUCAAUGUGGGAAAAUGUAUAUAACUGUAACUUAGAAAUCUCCCAUUUUGAUUGCACAUAUGCUCUUGAUGUAAAGUAAAUAAAAUGUAAUGCAACUUAAAGAUUGAUUUUACCAUGUUGGUUUAGCUAUUCUGUUAAUUUUUGAAAUAUUUAGAAAUGAAUGGGUUGAUUUGUGAUUUUAUGGAAUUUUCAGAAGUAUUUAUUUUGUGUAUAAUGACCCUGCGUAAAGCGGGAGCCUUGUGCACUGGGUACGACCUUUUUUUUUUUAUAUGUGUUUGUGAAUGCAGUUAAGUUGUUGGUAGCUUUUGAGAAUCAAUCGAUUAUUUUGUACUGUUUUUCAAACUUUCUCUCUUUUUUUGGGAAAUGACUCAUAUUUGCUAUAAACUAUGAAUUUAAAACCCGCAGCGGAGCGUGGCACUUUUGCUAGUUUUGACCUAGAAGCAAUUGGAAACGGGAAACGUAAUUCCAACUACUUAGUUGAUAACACUGAAUUUGAUCAAGUAGAAAUGUUAUACAAAGCAAACUUAUCGAGCCCCAUUAUUGUAAUACAACAUAACAAAUGCUGAAGCACCAGAAAUCAUAAAAUACAUGCGUUGGCCUUGAAGGCCCCAAACAUUUCUCCAGCCGGUAGACACAUCAAGCUAAGUUCGGCGUCCCCUCGUCGCCCGUGCAGUUGUUGACUUCCUCCUCCUCCUGAAUGUCUCCACAAACCAUUCAUGCUUCUUGUCUGCCAACAUGUUUCCAGCGACCACUCCCACUACUAGUCCGCUAACAACUCCCGGCAAAACUACAUACCAGUCAAACUCAAAUGUAAAUCCAGCCUCUUCAUCUUCUUCAAAGCUUGAUGGUGGCGGCAGCCUCGAGCUUUCAGAACCCUCGCAUUUCUUGGACAAAGGCUUUCCACACAGACCUGAGUUUCCUUGGUAUGAAUCUUCUAGGAAUGUACCAAAUUGUUGGCCAAGUGGUAUUUGCCCCCAAAGGUGGUUAUGCGACACGUUGAAAUACUCAAGGAAAGUGAGUUGUGCCAAGCUACCGGGGAUCCUUCCUGAGAGCUUGUUUUGAGAGAGAUCCAACGAUUCAAGAGCAGUCAAGUUCCCUAGAGAUGAAGGGAUGUGACCAGAGAGAGCGUUGUUGGAGAGGUUUAGCAAAUGAAGUGCUCUUAGACUCCCAAUGAUACUUGCUGGAAUCUCUCCUUCAAAUCUAUUACUUGAGAAAUCUAUGAGUCUCAGAUCAUAGGGGGUCUUAUCAUAUGUCAACUUAACACCUUUUACAGGAAUUAUCAUCGAGUAUGAAAAUUCAUAAGAUCCAUAUUUAUUUGUGUUGUAGUCCGAUGAGACUAGAAAGUAUCGGCUUCCCUUGUUUGCAACAACAUAUUUCAUGAAAUUCCAGUUCUCCAUGUACUUAGAAGGCAACAUACCUGAAAACAGAUUGUUGGAUAAAUCAAUGAUGCACAAGUUUGGGAACUCAUGAUUAGUUGGAGGCUUCCCAAUUAUCCCAUUAAAUGCAUUCGACCGCAAAAUGAGAACCCUCAAUACUGGAAGUACCCCUAACCAAGAAGGGAAGAUGUCACUGAUCUGAUUGUUGCCAAUGUCAAGAAACUCUAACUGGGUGCAAUCGGCCAUUGAUCUUGGUAGCUUCCCCUGUAGCCGAUUGUAACUCAACCCAACCAAUUUCAAACUAUUUCUGUUAGCACAAAAUGGGGGAAUAUCUCCAUGGAAAGAAUUAAACUUCAAUUUCAGUAUCUCCAAGCUACUGGACUUCCCCAAACAUCGUGGAAGCAUGCCUCUCAGGCUGUUGUUGGCCAAAUCAAAAAAUUGAAGAUAAUUCAAGUUGCAGAACAAUGGUGAAACUUCUCCACUAUAAUUAUUGUUGCCGACAUCGUAGGACGUGAUAGAUUGUGGUGGAAUUGGCAAUGACCCUCGUAACCGAUUAUCCCCAAGACUUAAAAGCUGUAGAUUUUUCCAUGGAAGAGUGACUGGAUUUUCCUCAAAGCCUGUUAAGAAGUUCGAAGAGAGGUCGAGAUUGAGCAGAGUUUCUCUAGUUGCAUUCCAGAGCCAUUUUGGUAUUUGGCCAUGAAUAUUGUUACCAGAAAGUUCUAAGGCUCCCAAUUCGUAUUGAUUUUUCAAAAAUUCUGGAAACUCUGUCAAGUUGCAGUCAUCCAACUCUAGAACUUCGAACUUUGGAAGAGUAGCACUCGAACCAGAUUUGACACGCACGGAUAACUUGUUGCACGCUAAACCAAGUACCUUCAACUUUUUGAGGUUGGAAAACUCAUCAAACUCAACUAAUCCACUCAAAUUAUUAUAGGAAAGGCCAAGACGUUCAAGAUUUCUGAGGUGGAAAAGCGAUUUAGGAAUUGCUCCUUGCAAAUCGUUGCGGGUGAGCCGCAGAAAAGUUAAUUGGGUCAACUCUAAUGCGAGCCAAGAUGGGAUUUCACCAGUUAUUGAAUUGUUAAGCAAGUCUAGAAACACAAGUUGGGUGAGGUUAGCCACAAAACGUGGGAAAUUCCCCUGUAAGUUAAUAUUCGAAAGACCCAAGUAGUUGAGCUUGGUUAAUUUUCCAAAACAAGACAAGGAAUCAGGAACUAAGAAUUGGCCUGCGGAAACGUCAUGAAAUAAAGCCAUCUUAAGGAAACUGAGCUGGGUAAGGUUUCCAAAUGAAGAUGGAACAUGGGAAUCAAAACCACAGUAUGAGAUAUCAAAGUAAUUUAAGGAAUGAAGGUUUCCGAUAGAACUAGGAAGUUUACCAGAGAAAUUUGUCUCUGAAACAUCUAAUGUUUUGAAGGAAUUGGUCCUGUUAAAAGUAGGAAAAUAACCAUUUAGGUCUGUGUUCGAGUACAAUCUAAGCUCCUCUAAAUUUGGUAGGUGGAAAAUGCCUACUGGGAAUUCCCCAUACAACCCACAAGAGCUUAGAUUGAGAGAUGUGAGAGAAGAUGCGUUGACCAAGAUAUCAGGCACAGUGGAGUAUAUGCCUACAUCACUAAGAUGAAGUUGUUUUAUGCUGGUCAAGUUUUGGACUAGGAUUCUUAUGUUGGACUUCCUAAGCUCCAAACCAUGAUUGUAAGACAGAACAAGGGUAGACAGUUUGGAUAGCUUUGAAAUUUCAGAUGGAAUUUGGCCAGAAAAUGCAGACCUUGAAAGGUUGAGAUAGGAUAGACUCGAAAGGUCAUGGCCCAAUCUCGAUGGUAUUUCAGAGGAAUUGAAGUUGUUAUCUGAGAGGUCAAGCUUCUGCAAGUGAACAAGUCGGAAGAGGGUGCUGUUGGAAUUGAUAGAACCAUAGAGACAGCUGCUCUUGAGGUCAAGGCCAAUGACACGGCCAGACUCCGCAUGGCACUCAACACCAUCCCACGAACAACAGUUACUUUGAUUUUGAUCUCCUUCUCGAGCCCAAGAUGCUACCUUCGGAUAAGCAAAAUGAGAUCUAGAAGCUGACUUGUCUACCAUAAAGCUUUCCUUGAAUUGUAACAAGAAGGAAUGCUCGUCAGCGUGGCACAGUGUCCGUGUCUGAGUCUGCACAAAUGAAAAACAGUGAGUAGCAUUGAGUAAUAGCAGAAGAAGACAAUGCAAACAGGUAAACUUGGACAACAAAGAAUCCAUUUUCAUGGCAGUGUGUUUUUUCUGGUUAUAGGAAAUAUUGUUUUAUGGCUCUCGGAUAAUUAAGAGUGGAGAAGUUAACUCCUUUUAUAGACACAACUCAUGCAAAACAUAAAUAAAUAAAAAGUAUGAGUCGAUCGAUGUGUGGGUGGUGAAUUGAUGUCUCGAUCAAUUGAAGACUUAAAGCUAACCAUGCAUUCAAAGUGACAUGCCGACAAAUCGAUGGUAGUCUUUCGAAGCUAACUAAUAUCCUAUUCAGCAGUUACACAUAUUUUUGGGUGCGCACAAUAUUAAUUAUAGGAUAAAUUAUAUUUUAUAUGAGUGCAAUUUCAACCUCAUACAAUAUCUUUAAAACAUUUCAAUCUCAUACAUAAACUUAUAUUUUGUUGUAAUUUCAUACGUUCGUUAAUUAAACAGUUCAUUUGACCGUUAAAUUAUGACGUGGCAAAUGCAUGACCCACAUAUUUGAUGACAUGGCAUAUAAAAAAUAAUUAAUUAUAAAAAAACAAUUUAAACAAAUAAUUAAAUUAAAAGAAAAUAAAAAAGAGGCCCACCCCUCUUCUCCCAUACGAGCAAAGGACCUCCAUCUCUAUCUCCUUCUUUCUCCAGCACCACCACCCAUCCCAUACAACCUCCAUGUCAAUCCCCCCCUUCCCAAUCCCUAAACCCCAUUCCCAAAUUUUCUAAAUUUCUUCUGAUUCUUCGUCUUCCCCAAAUCUCCUAAUAUAUUUCCUCAGUUUUCGCUCUCAAUCCGAAAAAAAAAACCCAGAAAAUUUCCUGGAUCGGAAGCUGAGUUUGCGUCUGAAUUAGCUUCCUUUUUCGACUGGCUUAUGAGGAGGGGUCGAGAUCGACAGCUCUCUGUGCUCCUGCCCUUAGUCUUAGGUGUAGCCGCCUCCGCCGCAACACGACCGGAAGACCCAGAUGGAGAAAAUCCGGAAAGACGAAACCCGCGGGAAGGAAUCGUCCCCAUCAACGCGUGGUGGUGAACGAAGGGCAUUCGGACCUGGACUUGCUGCUGCAGGGGCUAGGUGGCAAGGAUAGUCAGCCGCCGGUGUCGAAGGCGUCAAUCCACGCCAUGCCGUGUGUCAAGAUUUGGGAAUCAUAUUUGGAUUCAAAUAGGUUGUGUAAAUUUCAACUUUGAUGAUGGUGAUGCAAAAAGGGUGAUGCAGAAAGAAGGGGAUGGCUGGUUGUGUUGCAGAAAGAAGGAGAUGAAGAUAGAACAUUUGUUCGGGUGGGAGAAGAGGGGUGGGCCCCAUUUUUAUUUUGUUUUAAUUUAAAUUUUCAUUAAAUUGUUUUUUAUAAUUAAUUAUUUUUAUAUGCCACAUCAUCAAAUAUGUGGAUCAUGCAUUUGUUACGUCGUUAAAUUAAUAGUUCAAUUAACGGAUUGUAUGAAAUUACAACAAAAUAUAAGUUUAUGUAUGUGAUUGAAAUGUUUUAAAAAUAUUGUAUAAGGUUGUAAUUGCCCCCAAACCUAAAGGGGUAAAAUGUAAUUUACCCUUAAUUAUAUAUUGUAGGAUGUAACAUGAUUAAUUUUAUAGAAAACUAGAUUUUAAUCCUUAAAAAAGAUAAAGUUUAGAAAAAUAUCUUAUACAAGAUUAAAAUUUGAUUUUAGUCUUUAGACUCUAUUUAAGUAUCUUAUAUAAGAAAAUAUUUUCGUAGAUAUUUUUCGGUACACUUAUGUUUUUUCAUAUUUUCUUAUGUGCCACUAAUUCAUUACAAUAUAUUUAGGUAUGAAUAUUUCGGGUACACUUAUAUUUUUUCAUAUUUUCUUAUGUGCCAUUAAUUCAUUACAAUAUAUUUAGGUAUGAACAUUUCGGUACACUAGGUUAGUAUAAUAUGUUUAGGUACGGACAUUUCGGUACACUAGUUUAGUAUAAUAUAUUUAGGUACCAACAUUUCUGUAUAUUAGUUUAGCAUCACAUAUUUAGGUAUGAAAUUUUUCGAUACACUUAUGUUUUUGCAUAUCUUCUUAUGUGCCACAAAUUCACUACAAUAUAUAUAGGUACAGACAUUUCAGUACACUAAUUUAGUAAAAUAUAUUAUGAUACGAACGUUUAGGUACACUAAUUAGAGGAAGUAAAAUAAAAUUAAUGAAUUAAAAUAUGUAUAAUAAUAAAUUUUAAUUUUAAUGUAAUGACAUUAAAUAAGAUAUCUAUUAAAUAUUAAAAAAAAUGUAAUAUGAAUUUGAAUUAAGUAUACAUUAGAGAACUACAAUCAAUAUCCAAUCCAACACCAGAUUUUUAUUGAAUUUUAAUCUUCUUCAAGGAUUAAAGUUCAAAAACCCCUUAAUUUUAAUGUCGUAAGAUUAUUGAUUACUAUGCGGUAGUACCAAAUUUUUCUGAAGUGAUGAAUCAUCAUUUUAUAGACUUCAUCGUACCUUUUCGCGAGAGUUGUGAGACUUCUCUGAAUGGUCAUAUCCAUUCAAGGAAUGACACAUCAUUUAUAGAAGGGUAUAACCUUUAUCAGUGGCAGAUCCAGGAUUUCAGUGUCUAGUUGUCCCAAUUUUAAAGCUCAAAAAUAGAAAGACCAAAAUAACAUUGAAAAUAUAAAUGACAAAAUCAAUACCAUUUACCCGUGUACUAAAAUAAAAAAAUAAGUACAACUACAUAGCGUAUAACUCAUGUAGUUAAUGUGAGACUAUCAAGACCCUUGUCAUUAAUACAUUGAUAAACAUUGUGUUGAUCACUUGAGUAACAAGUUCUCACAAUAUGAACUAAUAAAUAAAUCAUGCACCCCAAAAAUAACUUGCAUAACUAAAUCCUAAUUACGGUUUUGGGAUCAAAGAGAACAAUGGAAGACGUUCGCAAACCUAAAGGCUAAAAGUUAUUCAAUUUGAAAAUCUUUUAACCAUUCAUAUACAUAAAACAAAUAAACAGUUCAUCAUGAUUAUGCAACUUGUUACUAAAAACGUUGAUUGGCUUGACAUGAAUGAAUGACUAAAAGAUCUCUGAAUUGAAGGAUUUUUGCAGAUAUGAUUAUGAUAAAGAGAAUAAACAGUUUUGAUAUGAUGUUCAUACAGUGAAAAUACGUUAAUCGUAAGUGAGGGGACAAACAUUAUCCAAAAAAGUGUAUGAUAGUACUUGUACUCCCCGGGAGAUGAGCACAUUCUCCCACUUACAAAUAAAGUAUCUUAACCGUAGAAAUUUCAUAAUCAAAAUCGUUCAAUUUCUUAAUCUUCAUUUAAAAAUCAUCCCUAUAAAUAUCAUUCGAAUUAGAUAUUGUUUAAUCAUCUAAAUGUAACAAAUAAAUCAAUAGUUUAUCAUAAAUAUGUUAGUUGGUACUUACACCGUUAAUUUGUUUGAUACAUUUGGAUCUAAAUGACCUCUGAUUCAAAUGAUUUUCUUGUGGAGAUGAUUUUCAAAUAAAUCUUACAAAAUUGAAAUGUUCCAUUUAUAAAAAGAAAAACUAAUGAAAAGAGUUUGAAAACUUUGAGUUUUAAUGAUAAAAACAAAAUAAAGGGUAAAGUGAAUAGUACCAGAUUUGACUUUUUAGUGUAAAAAUGUGAUUUUUCAUUAAAAUGAAUAGUACCGCAGACUUUUCGUUAAAACUCCCUUUAUAAAAUUUAUGCUAUAAAGAUUCACUAUUUGUAAAUGGAGAAAUAAGCUCAUUCCAAAAAGUGAACACAAGUAUUAUUCUUCACAAAACAUAUGCAAACAAAAUAUGGGGAUGAGUGAUGAGCCAUUGAGUGGUGACAAAAAGAAAUGAAAGAGAAAACCAAACAAGGAGACAAUGAAGUCAAUAAAAUGCCGAUCUCGAUCACUCGAAGACUUGGAAGUCAUAUGAGUCGUUUGCAAGUAAACAUCUCUAGCUAACCUACAAGUCUACCAUUAAUGUUGUUGUUACUUAUUGGCAUUGGGUAUCAUGCAAUUGUCUCAGUUGAAGUCAAGCUAUUAAGGACAAAUUUGCCUUGUCCCACGUGAUAAGGUAUCGCUAAUUAGUAAUUACCACUCAUGUUCUUGUCAUGAUAAAUACUAAAAGUGACAUUAAGAAAAAAUAGAAAUUGCAUUUAUAAUUCAGUAAUACAAAAGACCAACACAAGGGUUACAUCAAUAGCAUCUUAAACAUGUAGAGUUCCUUUGGUGUAUCCAAAUUUUCGUCAACUUAAAUCACUUGACACACUUUAGAGUGUAAUACCGUUAUUUUCUUGCCUACAAACCCUUAACAUUUCAUAUAGGUUGCGAAUAUAACGUCUAAUUUAAUCUCUAAACUUAACUUACACUAUUUCUUAUGAAAAACUACUAAUUUACCUCCAAAGACACUAUUUCUUUAUGAAAAACUAUCAAUCUACCCUUCAAUGUGUAUUACAUGCAAGUACCCUGACUUAAACUAACGGAAAAUUGAAUAUAGUAGCUUUGACUAUAAUAUUCAAUUUCCAUACACUAGCCUUCAUGCACGCGCUCAAGCGCGUGCAGAAGACAUUUUUUGAAUCACGGCAUGCUACACGUGACUUACACGCUUUAAUUGUAUUUAUAUGCGUAAAUUGACAAAAGAAAAGUCAAAUAUUUGAAGUAAAUGAAUAAUCUUAUAUCAUGCUCAAAGAAACCCCUCAUAAAUCAAUAAAGCAGCUGAAUUCACAUAAUAAAAUCAGUCUCUAUUGAAUUUAUAUUAAGAAUAGAGAAAAUAAUAUUUAAUAAACAACUGAUUGAAUCAUAUUAUUGCUAGCCCAUUGUGAGGCUAAGCCCACCCUCUCUCCCUUAGUGUAAAUAAUAUCGUUUGUUCAAAAAAAAAACAAAAAACAAAUAAACAACUGAUUGAAUCACAUUAUUGCUAGCCCAUUGUGAGGCUAAGCCCACCAUCCUCCCCUUUAGUGUGGAUAAUAUCAUUUGUUCACAAAAAAAAAAAAAUCAUUUGACAACUAAUUUAAUCACAUUAUUAUCUGCGUGCGAAAGACCUUUUUUAUAACCGGCAUUACAACCUCUUAAGAUGAAAAUUGCAUUAUUCCAACUUGGAACCUGCCACUCAUGUUCCUUAAAGACUUAAAAAGUAAACCGUAUGAUUUUUCCUCUAUUUUAGGUCAUGUGUCAACGAGUACCCCACUAUUUAGACAACCCUUUUUCUAAUUAUUACAUUUUUUUGUUAAUUUUAAAUGAAUGUCUCACUCCAUAACUUCAAGACCGUUCUUCAAAUCAACGUAACACAUCAAUCAGGAUCCUCAUAUAUAUAAAUAGUUGAUUUUUCAAACUUGUUGAAAUUUGAUUAGUUCAACUUUCUCACCUUUUGAAAUUUCUAUGGAAGAAUAAUCCUCCGGAUGCCAAAAAAUCUUUUGGUAUAGCCAACUGAUAUGACAGCCUUCAUUCCAAACUUAUAUUGUAUGCGUGUUGACUGUUGGGUAUCCCAGAUCCAUGAAGUUUCUUGAUUCACCAAGCACCCACGCACGUCCAACUACAACCAAACUAUAGUGUUUAGUUUAUGAUUCACUAGCCUUCAUGCAUGUGUGUGAGUGUUUAGUUUAUGAUUCACUAACCUUCAUGCACGCGCUCACGCACGUGCAGAAAGCAUUUUUUGAAUCACGGCAUGCUACGCGUGACUUACACGUUUUAAAUGUAUUUAUAUGCGUAAAUUGACAAAAGAAAAGUCAAAUAUUUGAAGUAAAUGAAUAAUCUUAGAUCAUGCUAGAAGAAACCACUCAUAAAUCAAUUAAAGCAGCUGAAUCCACAUAAUAAAAUCGGUCUCUAUUGAAUUUAUAUUAAGAAUAGAGAAAAUAAUAUUUAAUAAACAACUGAGUGAAUCACAUUAUUGCUAGUCCAUUGUGAGGCUAAGCCCACCCCUCCCCCUUAGUGUAGAUAAUAUCGUUUGUUCAAAAAUAAAAAAAUAAAUAAACAAAUAUUGAAUCGCAUUAUUGUUAGCUCAUUGUGAGGCUAAACACACCCCCCCCUCUCCCUUAGUGUGGAUAAUAUCAUUUGUUCACAAAAAAAAAACAAUCAUUUGACAACUAAUUUAAUCACAUUAUUAUCCGCGUGCGAAAUACUUUUUUUUUAUAACUGGCAUUACAACCUCUUAAGAUGAAAAUUGCAUUAUUCCAACUUGGAACCUGCCACUCUUGUUCCUUAAAGACUUAAAAAGUAAACUGUAUGAUUUUUCCUCUAUUUUAGGUCAUGUGUCAACGAGUACCCCACUAUUUAGACAACCCUUUUUCUAAUUAUUACAUUUUUUUUGUUAAUUUUAAAUGAAUGUCUCACUCCACAACUUCAAGACCGUUCUUCAAAUCAACGUAACACAUCAAUCAUGAUCCUCCUAUAUAUAAAUAGUUGAUUUUUCAAACUUGUUGAAAUUUGAUUAGUUCAACUUUCUCAUCUUUUGAAAUUUCUAUGGAAGAAUAAUCCUCCGGAUGCCAAAAAAUCUUUUGGUAUAGCCAACCGAUACGACAGUUUUCAUUCCUAACUUAUAUUGUAUGCGUGUUGACUGUUGGGUAUCCCAUAUCCAUGAAGUUUCUUGAUUCACCAAGCACCCAUGCACUUCCAACUACAACCAAACUAUUGUGUUUAGUUUAUGAUUCACUAGCCUUCAUGCACGCGCUCAUGCACGUGCAGAAGACAUUUUUUGAAUCAUGACAUGCUACGCGUGACUAACACGUUUUAAAUGUAUUUAUAUGCGUAAAUUGACAAAAGAAAAGUCAAAUAUUUGAAGUAAAUGAAUAUAACAAACACAAAAGAAGAUCAAUGACCAACAUGUGACUUUUUGGAUGGAAUUUGGGUAAAUUUGAAGCUAGGGAGAAAUUAUCUAUUCUGCUGCUUGUGAGUUGUGAGAAGAAGAUAGAACGACAUGGGCUUGCGGGUUGCUAGUGUUUUUGCCUUGGCGCCUUGUCUCGCACGUGUGAGUGUGUGGAUUGUUUUGUUUUGUUUUGUUUUUUUUUUUUUUUUUUUUUUGAAGAAAAUAGUUUUAAAUUUUAUAGACUUAAAAACGUAGCAUGUUAGAUUGUCUGGUAAGAGAAAAUGUUUUUUUUUUGCGGAUACAUAACAUAUUAUAUGUUGUCAAGCUAUGAAUUAGACAUCACCUAAUUAAUAAUUUAGAUUGACAGUCUGACAACAUAACAUGUUAGAUUAUGUAGCAAUAGACCAUUUCUUAUAGGGUAUAAAAAAAAAUGUUAGUUGUCAAGUUACGUUGAGACAUCACUUUCUGUUCAUUAAUUCGAAUUGACAAUUUGACGAUAUAAUAUAUCAAAUUAUUUAAUACCACACUUUUUCUCGACAAAUCAUCAUGAUGUGUUUCAAGUUUAACCCUACUUUCUUGUCUCUUUUUUUGUCAAAAUGCAAUCAUGUGGCUUAGCAAGAAAAGUUCCAUCAACUUGAUCAUUCCAUUGAUGACAACAUGAACUUCCGCAAAAUAAGUUGAAUCCUAAGUUAGUUGUCUUGGUAGAACACAUCCAACACCAAAAUAAAUGUUUUCCACGUUUUGGUUUUUUUUGACAAAAAUAAACUCAAAUGCUUUGAUUUACAGGGAGGAGGAUAUGAACUUGGGCACAAGGGGGAUGAGGCGGGAACAUUGUUUUGGUCAACUGGCUCAACUCACGAAAUGCAAAUGUUUCACAUUAUUAACAUUGUACAUUUUGGGUUGAAAUAUAUAAAUAACUAAAUCAUACAUGAAAAUAAAAAUAAAAUAUUAUGAAUAUUAAACAUCGAUCCAUAUCAAUUCAUUAUUCAAGUGAAUAGUAAUUGCCUGAAUCCACUCGUAAAGCCCGAUUCCACUCCUAAAACCACAAAAAUAGGUGGAAAUACUCUCUAGCAAUGAAGAUAAACUUACUUGGGAGGAAAUUCCCCUAGUGAAAAUUAUAGUCAAAUGUUGCUACUUCAAAUGAAAGAUGUAAAAACGAUUUUUGUACAACUAUUGUCCUGUGGCAUGCCACGUCAUCAAUUAACUAUCCCUGACAGAAUGGCUAACGAAAGUACAAAAGUGUCACAACAUUCAAGCUUUAGGUAUGAAAACGAAAAAAAAAUUAGGUAUGAAAGUUGAAAUUUCCCGAUACUUGAGAUAGUAAAGAUAGAAUAACCCAUAAAAUAAAAUACAAGAGCUGCAAUAGGUAAUAAAAAUAGAGUUGCUCCAUUAAAACAGAAAACCAAAUUCCAUACAUUGAAGUUCAUAAGAUAGAGAAGAAAAGACCCACAAUCAAAUUUGCACGACCAACUCAGCACUGUCUUUUCUACUUAGCCUAAUUAACAUUUCAAAAUACAGUCCAUCACAACAACGAAAUUCAAGUCGAACACGAGGCCCCCUACUACUUUGCCAUCGCCAAGAGAAACAAGGACAAAACGGCACCUUUCUUGUCCAAGUACAACAUGUAGACGUUUUUGAUGUUUUCAAUGCCAUCAUCGCACGAUAUCACUCUAUCACCGAAGUACUCUUUCCUGAGAUCCAGCAGCUUAGCCAUUUCCAGUGCAUAGGCUCAUAUAGGCCUUGGGUAAAAGUACAUCUCGAACGAUACACUGGAUAUAAGUAAUUGGGGAAAAACAUAAGAGCACGCACAUGCAUGUACACAAGAUAAGGUACUGAAUCAGCAUGAAUAAAAUCUAAACAAUCUCAUUUUCCGUCAGAAGCACGCUACUAAAAUGAGAAAAACAGAAGUGAUAAACUGAUUAAAACUAGUUAUAAUCAUGUAGAACUGGAGGGAACAAACAACACCUCCCAAAGGAGGGUGCAUACCAUGAAAAUUUAAACACUAAUCAUGUUAUAAAAACAAAAACACGUGAAGGAAAAGCAUAACAUACCUUCCAGAGUCUCUGUCUGGCUCUAUGGCCAGAGGCUGGUCGCCUCCCUUGACAGAAACAAGACUUUCUGCAUAAAGAACAGCUUGAAUAUAUAGUGGGUUUUCAAUGCCAUGUAUAGGAAGGUAUUUGAGGUUUCGAGUGCGUAGGUUAUAGGAGACAACGUCUCCAUCAGUGGCCGCCAGAAGAAGCUCGUCAUUCUUCCAAAAUAUCAAUGGAAUCUCAAUCCUUGGUACAGAUUCGAUUGUUAAGCGUCUCUUACUCCAUGGACUUUUUACCCCAUCACUAGAGUCAUCCAUCACCCAUAUAUCAAAGAUAGAAAGUCCAGUUCCUUCAUCUUUGCGGUAGCAGAACAAAGCAAUGGAUUCCUUCCAUAAUGCAAGACUGCAAUUCCAUGCAAAUCUUUCCAGAGAAUCAUACGGAACUGGUAUCUUAUCAAAUACCUCCUCACCCAUAUCAAAUGUAAGGAUGAAAUCAUUAUUUUGUAGAUCAGUAGCAAACCAAUGAUAAACACCCUUGAAGUAGACAUAAAAAGAAGGUGUCCAGAUGACAGAAAAAUCGAUCUCAAACUUGACCUCUCUCCAAGAAUCAACACCUAAAGUGUAUACCUCUGCUAUUCUAGGCCCCGGCAAAAAUUUCACAAUUCUAACAACCUUGUAUGCUUUAGCUUUGGAAUCAUACCCAAAUCCAACGGCAUUGGUAAUGGUAUCCACUCUAUCAGCAACAUCUGGCUCUGGGGGAGGCAGGAGAAGACAAGGCUGGGGAAGAAGCUGAAAUUCCAUGAUCGCUGGAUUGACUAAACCAAUAUCCUCGGGACAAAAGUGAAUACUUAGACAGAAAAUCCCAUCACAGUAACCCAGAAUUUCAAAAUUUGGAGAAGAUACACUCAACAAAGGAUACGCAACACUAAGAUCCUCAACACAGUCAUCACUAUCGCUAAAAUCCUCUGAAACAUUAAGCAAUGACAAUAAAACGUGCUUCCUAUGAUCCCUCAGAUUUUUAACAGUAUGUUUUACAACAAUGCUGGUGGAGGAAUCUGAUUUCGAAUUCGAGUUAGAAAGGUGACUCGCCACAAAGCUAGGACUAUCAAUUAGAUCACACCACAACUUACGGACACAUUUGAAUCGCAUCAAGGAUUUAGGUGGCAAUCGAGACAGGAUUUGCACCACCAUAUCAUCCGU
rnacentral:lncRNA from 1 species